GGACCCAAUGAGUGGGCGGCCGCCAUCUUGAGCGAGGGCAGGGCGGCCAUUUGGGUUGUGGGCGAGCAGGCUCCUCCUCCGCUUUGCCAGAAGGACGCCUUCCUCGGAGCCGCGACCCUGGGGACAGGGGGGUCGGCAGCGCACCCCCGUUGGGCCGAACGGCAGCUCCGCCCGCAGGCGCUGUGCCGGCACCGCCACGGGACACAAGGAACGCCAUUAAAACUAAUUGCUGCCGUCGGCGCGGAGUAAAGGGGCUCCGGGCGGCAGGAGGAGCGGCGAAGCAGCGAGCACAGCGCGGCGGGAGGUCCGGGCUUUUUCACACGCUGCUCUCGUAUCGGCGGUGUUACUGCAGCUCCGAGGCGUUAGGAUGCGGUUUGCGCCGCCGCUCUGAAGGGAGCGUUCAGAGCGAGGAGGGCCGGCAGCACGGCCCGCACCCACAGCCCGUCUAGACGGGGAUUAGAGCAGCGGCACCGUGCUCGAAGGUGGUCCGAGCCGCGCUGAGCCUCGGCUCGCUCUGUAACUGGGCUCCACCAAUUAGCGAUACACGCUCCCACCCGUUCCAGUCACUGCCCGCAGGCACACCCAGAAGCACGGUGCGAUGGCCGAUAGCCUCACCGAGCGCAGGGGGGGCAGAGUUAUUCAAGAACCAAAGCAAGGAUUUAGCUGUCCCCUCUGCACGUGUGUCUGAGACGCUGUGAGACCCAAACGACUGCAGGCAGAGACAGAAAGCAGACAGAACUAGGCUGGUGCUCUCCUGACUCUCAUUCAGAAGAAAGGAGCCACCUCCAGCAGCUCCAAGGGCUGUCGCACUGGACCUGGUUACAUCUAAAACACCUGCACAGCCAAGCUCAUCAAUUAAUUCGCAGCAGAGAGUGAAGGAGGAUAUCCCAGUGACAGAGAUCCCUGCUGUAGAGGGAAGCAAAGGGGAGCAAAUCAAAGUCAGGAAGAGAAAUGAGGAAAAGGACUGCGGGAAAAAAAAGAAAAAAUGACUCAAAGUUGAGUAGAAAAAUCUCCUCAUGGUCGUUACCUACCUCAAAUUUCUCAGGCCACGCUUACACAAUGGAGAAGACUCCUUACCAGCUCUCCCCCCUGGUAAAACGAAGAAAUGAGUGUAACCUUCCGCUGCCCCUUGAAAGCUCCAAGAAGCCAAGCUUUUAGAACACUUAUGGAUUACAACAUGUACGUUAACGUAUUAAAAAAACAUGCAGUUCAAGAAGGCAGACCAAAACUGCAUUUUCAGCAUCAAUCACUUCCAUUAUGAGAGCAAGAACCGAACAACACAAAGCUCUAUAAAGAAACCUGAUCAGCCAUUUUCUGAUGUGAGCUUUAUGACCGUCAGGGCUCCCCCUUCCAGCUCAGGAUAUUCUAUGAUUAUACACAUUCUUUACAAACAACA